GCCCUGGUAGUCUAGUGGUCUAGGAUCUAGGUCUGUCGAGCCUGGGACUCGGGUUCGAAUCCCGACCAGGGCG
rnacentral:tRNA from 1 species